rnacentral:rRNA from 1 species
GACGAACGCUGGCGGCGUGCUUAACACAUGCAAGUCGAACGGUAAGGCCCUUCGGGGUACACGAGUGGCGAACGGGUGAGUAACACGUGGGUGAUCUGCCCUGCACUUCGGGAUAAGCCUGGGAAACUGGGUCUAAUACCGGAUAGGACCACUGCCUGCAUGGGUGGGGGUGGAAAGCUUUUGCGGUGUGGGAUGGGCCCGCGGCCUAUCAUGUUGUGGGUGGGGUGAUGGCUUACCAAGGGGACGACGGGUAGCCGGCCGGAGAGGGUGGCCGGCCAAACUGGGACUGAGAUACGGCCCAGACUCCUACGGUAGGCAGCAGUGGGGAAUAUUGCACAAUGGGCGCAAGCCUGAUGCAGCGACGCCGCGUGAGGGAUGACGGCCUUCGGGUUGUAAACCUCUUUCAGCACCGACGAAGCGCAAGUGACGGUAGGUGCAGAAGAAGGACCGGCCAACUACGUGCCAGCCGCCGCGGUAA